AAUGAACGCUGGCGGUAGGCCUAACACAUGCAAGUCGAACGAGUGGAGGACGGGUGAGGAAUACAUAAGAAUCUACGCUAUCGAGGGGGAAGACGAAGAGAACAUUACGCUAAUACAGCAUACGAUUGAUUGAGCCGAUUUCGGCUUAGCUAGUGGGCGGGGGAAAGGCCAACCAAGGCGAAGAUCCGUAGCUGGUCUGAGAGGAUGAUCAGCCACACGGGAACUGAGACACGGCCCAGACUCCUACGGGAGGCAGCAGUGGGGAAUAUUGGGCAAUGGGCGAAAGCCUGAUCAAGCCAUACCGCGUGGGUGAAGAAGGCCUUCGGGUUGUAAAGCCCUUUUGUUGGGAAAGCGGUACCCAAAGAAAAAGCCACGGCUAACUUCGUGCCAGCAGCCGCGGUAAUUC
rnacentral:rRNA from 1 species